rnacentral:lncRNA from 1 species
AAGAAAUUUCCAGUCUUGGACACGAACAAAGCACAGUGGGAGACUCUGGAGGCCUGGAUUAAAACUACAUUCGGCUUGAGCCAUUUUCAAGUGAAAUAUUUUGACGAGGACAACGAGGAGGUGUGCAUAAACAGUCAAGAUGAAUAUACAGAAGCUCUAAAGGUAAGAACACCAGUCUUUUUUGUGAUGCACAAGCCAAAGCUGAGCCAUGCAUGCUGAUAUCAUUAGAAUUUGUUAAAUUCCCCUGGCUUUUAACAAAAUGUUUUCGUGAUUUAUUUUUUCAUUUAGAGUGCAUUUA